rnacentral:sRNA from 1 species
CGGCCGCGUUUGAAGGAUGACCUCUAGGAAGAAAGUGUUGCUGAAGGUUAUCAUCCUGGGAGAUUCUGGAGUCGGGAAGACAUCACUCAUGAACCAGUAUGUGAAUAAGAAAUUCAGCAAUCAGUACAAAGCCACAAUAGGAGCUGACUUUCUGACCAAGGAGGUGAUGGUGGAUGACAGGCUAGUCACAAUGCAGGUAAGCACAUGUCUUGGCUGUGCUGACCAGGCCUUGAUAGUUCAUUUAGUCUUAAUCUUUCCUCAUGCAUAGACAUUUUCCUUCCCUGUUCUUCAAAUCUUAUUAUCCUAUUUGUAGAUCAUUGGCUGAUACUCAGUUAAAUUUGAAUUUCAGAUCAAUAGUGAAUACUUUUUUAGUAUACUUCUAGUGUAUCUCAGAUACGACUUGCUAAGACACACUAAAAAAUUCUUCUUCUUAAAAAAAAAACUCAGAUUUAUCCUUUCUUGUUUUUUGUUGUUUUUGGUUUUGUUGUUUGCUAAAUUUGGCAACCUGCAGGUCUCUGUCUUGUGCCUCUCUUGACAUCCUUGCCCAGUGCUUUAG